CCUACGGGAGGCUCCAGUGAGGAAUAUUGGUCAAUGGACGAGAGUCUGAACCAGCCAAGUAGCGUGAAGGAUGACUGCCCUAUGGGUUGUAAACUUCUUUUAUAUGGGAAUAAAACGUUCCACGUGUGGGAUUUUGUAUGUACCAUAUGAAUAAGGAUCGGCUAACUCCGUGCCAGCAGCCGCGGUAAUACGGAGGAUCCGAGCGUUAUCCGGAUUUAUUGGGUUUAAAGGGAGCGUAGGUGGAUUGUUAAGUCAGUUGUGAAAGUUUGCGGCUCAACCGUAAAAUUGCAGUUGAAACUGGCAGUCUUGAGUACAGUAGAGGUGGGCGGAAUUCGUGGUGUAGCGGUGAAAUGCUUAGAUAUCACGAAGAACUCCGAUUGCGAAGGCAGUUCACUGGACUGCAACUGACACUGAGGCUCGAAAGUGUGGGUAUCAAACAGGAUUAGAUACCCUUGUAGUC
rnacentral:rRNA from 1 species